AAAAAUAAUUUCAAACAUAAUUUUUGAUUUUCAAAAAGAAAUUUUGAAAAAGAAAAUAAAAAACAAUUUCAAAAAAAAUUAUAAAAAAGUUCAAAUUUGAAAAAGUAUAAUUCGAAAACAUAAAAAAAUAUUUUAUUUAUUUAUUUAAAUAAUUAUUUAUUAAAUAUAUAUAUAGAUAACAAAGGUAUAAAAGUCUUUUUGAAGAAGGUAAAGAUGAAAAGUGGUACCAUGAAAGUGGUAAACAUAAAAUUUCCCCUUAGAUUUGAGGGUUGGAGAUUUU
rnacentral:lncRNA from 1 species